rnacentral:lncRNA from 1 species
AUGGCUCAUACAAAGCAGACUGCCCGCAAAUCCACCUGUGGUAAAGCACCCAGGAAACAACUAGCUACAAAAGCUGCUUGCAAGAGUGCGCCCUCUACUGGAGGGGUGAAGAAAUCUCAUCGUUACAGGCCUGAUACUGUGGCACUCCUUGAAAUCAGACGCUAUCAUCCACUGAACUUCUGAUUCAUAAGCUCCCCUUUCAGCGUCUGGUGCAAGAAAUUGCUCAGGACUUCAAAACAGAUCUGCGCUUCCAGAGUGCAGCUAUUGGUGCUUUACAGGAGGCAAGUGAGGCCAAUCGGGUUGGCCUUUUUGAAGAUACCAAUCUGUGUGCUAUCCAUGCCAAAUGUGUAACAGUUAUUCCAAAAGAUAUCCAGUUAGCACACAGCAUACUCGGAGAACGUGCUUAA